UAAGAGACAAGCAGAGAACACACAGUCAAAUGGCAGAUGAGACCUGGCAGGACUGUGGUACAAAGUCAAGUCCCAGAAGGACUAUAAGCAGUGAAAUAAUGUAAUUAGAGCUCUUUUUACAAAGCCACAUUAGCUACAGGAUGAUAAAUGAGUUGUUGAUGGGCUGUAGUGGCCACAGGCAGGCUGGAGGAGGCUGCUGCCAUCCAGGUGAGAAACGAUGGGGACCCAGACGAAGGUGGUAGUGGCAAGAGCAGUGGUCAAUUGGAGGGAACUGAGGAAGCUGUCACUGGCAGAACUGUCAGGACCUGCAGCUGGGGUGGAUGGAGGGGAUGAUGCUAUGGCAAAGGGAGGAAUGAAGGAUGACACUCUAGCCCAGCCCUAAGCUCUAUGUUUCAGACCUCAACCACCUACAGCCUCUACCCAGCAUCUCUCUGUGGCCUUGAGAAGUACCCAGUCCCUUGGUCCAAUUCCUCUCUGUGAACAAAAUAUGUGUGUGUGGAGGGGGGGCAGGGUAUCUCUCAGUGGCCACAUGUAUACUUACCCUGACUGGUGCAGGAUCCCCUGGUUCCCCCCUUAGGCCCUGGCUUUCCAGGGGAGCCCCACAAAGUUCUGGAACCCUUCAGGCAGUGUUGGGCACACCUCACAGGGGUCACCCUAGCAGAAGGGGAGACCAUGAAAGGACAGGGUAGAUCUGAGACCCUGGGGAAGGAACGGAGCCUCCUGCCCACAUCAGCUCUAGCCAUUGACUGCCCUGUCCCCAGUAUCAAAGUAGACAGCAGAGAAACUCCAGGGUUCCCUGCCCAACUUAAUCAUUCAUUCAACAGGAUUCCUGGAUAUCACAUGACUACAGCUUUGUAGCAAGCCAUAGGAAAUGAAUGUGCCCCAUCACAGAUGUGGAAACUUGGGCAAAGGGAGAAGUUAAGUGACCUGCUACAUUCAUAAACCAUGCGGGUGGCUGAGGCAGGACCUGAGCCCAAAUGACCCCAAGCCAGGCUCUUUAUUACUAAACACACACACACACACACACACACACACACACACACACGCACGCCACAGAAUAAAGAAGGGGCAGGGGUCACCUGAAGAAGGUCCUGUACCCUCAGCCCAGGUCCAUGAUCAUGAUGCUCAGUGUCAUCUGCAGAGAGGGCUCCCAUUCUCAUCCCAACCUAGGCCAACCAGUCCUGGGACUCACCUUCUCUCCCUUCAGCCCUGGCACUCCUGGCUUCCCCUGCUUCCCACCAGGGCCUUCCUUGCCUGGAAUCCCAGAGCUUCCCUGCAAUCAAAAGAAAGGUUAAAGGGUGGAGGCUGCUGCACACCCGGUUCCUAGCCCAUUCUCCCCUUCUCCAUCCAGCCCUUUGUGCAUGGCAGGAUGACCUCUGUCAGCUCUCCCAUGGCCACUGGCUUGGUAAACCCUCCCUUCCUGUUGCCUACCCUUCUCCAUGUCUGGCUCAAGAGAAAGACGAGACCUCUGUGUCCCUUCCCACCCUGUGUAACAGAGAAGGAGGUGACCUGAGGAACCUCAGAGGAAGCACAGCAUCUGAUGGACAUUUCCAGGGCUUUAUGCUCAUCUUGCUUUCUGCCAAGGCCCCACCUCAGAGAGCUCUGGGAUGAGUCACUCCCCACCGUGGUCCUGGCUGAACCAAGCCCCCUCAGUGAAAAGCCUAGCUGCAAAAUCCAAAAUCUUGGGACUGCCUUGCUGCACAACCCCUCAGCAGCAAGCUCACCUGUGCCCUGUG
rnacentral:lncRNA from 1 species